CCUACGGGAGGCAGCAGUAGGGAAUCUUCGGCAAUGGACGAAAGUCUGACCGAGCAACGCCGCGUGAGUGAUGAAGGUUUUCGGAUCGUAAAACUCUGUUGCCAGGGAAGAAAGGCCAGGAGAGUAACUGCUCUUGGUUUGACGGUACCUGAGAAGAAAGCCCCGGCUAACUACGUGCCAGCAGCCGCGGUAAUACGUAGGGGGCAAGCGUUGUCCGGAAUUAUUGGGCGUAAAGCGCGCGCGGCGGUUGUUUAUGUCUGGUGUAUACACCAAGGGCUCAACCUUUGGACGGCAUUGGAAACUGGGCAACUGGAGUGUAGGAGAGGAAAGUGGAUUCCACGUGUAGCGGUGAAAUGCGUAGAGAUGUGGAGGAACACCAGUGGCGAAGCGACUUUCUGGCCUAUAACUGACGCUGAGGCGCGAAGCGUGGGGAGCAAACAGGAUUAGAUACCCUGGUAG
rnacentral:rRNA from 1 species